rnacentral:rRNA from 1 species
AGUGAACGCUGGCGGUAGGCCUAACACAUGCAAGUCGAACGGCAGCACAGGAGAGCUUGCUCUCUGGGUGGCGAGUGGCGGACGGGUGAGGAAUACAUCGGAAUCUGCCCAGUCGUGGGGGAUAACGUAGGGAAACUUACGCUAAUACCGCAUACGACCUUCGGGUGAAAGAGGGGGAUCGCAAGACCUCUCGCGAUUGGAUGAGCCGAUGUCGGAUUAGCUAGUUGGCGGGGUAAUGGCCCACCAAGGCGACGGUCCGUAGCUGGUCUGAGAGGAUGAUCAGCCACACUGGAACUGAGACACGGUCCAGACUCCUACGGGAGGCAGCAGUGGGGAAUAUUGGACAAUGGGCGCAAGCCUGAUCCAGCCAUACCGCGUGGGUGAAGAAGGCCUUCGGGUUGUAAAGCCCUUUUGUUGGGAAAGAAAUCUUUCAGGCUAAUACCCUGGGAGGAUGACGGUACCCAAAGAAUAAGCACCGGCUAACUUCGUG